rnacentral:rRNA from 1 species
UGGGGAAUAUUGCACAAUGGGCGCAAGCCUGAUGCAGCCAUGCCGCGUGUGUGAAGAAGGCCUUCGGGUUGUAAAGCACUUUCAGCGAGGAGGAAGGUGGUGAGCUUAAUACGCUCAUCAAUUGACGUUACUCGCAGAAGAAGCACCGGCUAACUCCGUGCCAGCAGCCGCGGUAAUACGGAGGGUGCAAGCGUUAAUCGGAAUUACUGGGCGUAAAGCGCACGCAGGCGGUUUGUUAAGUCAGAUGUGAAAUCCCCGGGCUCAACCUGGGAACUGCAUUUGAAACUGGCAAGCUAGAGUCUCGUAGAGGGGGGUAGAAUUCCAGGUGUAGCGGUGAAAUGCGUAGAGAUCUGGAGGAAUACCGGUGGCGAAGGCGGCCCCCUGGACGAAGACUGACGCUCAGGUGCGAAAGCGUGGGGCAGCAAACAGGAUUAGAUACCCUGGUAGUCCAGCGCUGUAAAACGAUGUCGAUUUGGAGGUUGUGCCCUUGAGGCGUGGCUUCCGGAGCUAACGCGUUAAAUCGACCGCCUGGGGAGUACGGCCGCAAGGUUAAAACUUAAAUGAAUUGACGGGGUC